rnacentral:lncRNA from 1 species
GAACUGACUGUAACUGGUUUAUAGCAGACAUACUGAGUGAUUUCAUUGUCAAUUAAAGCACAACUCUUUUUUUCUUUAGAUGAUGACGACAACGAUGAUGAUGACGAUGAUGACGAUGACGAUGACGACGAUGACGAUGAUGAUGAUGAUGAUGAUGAUGGUGAUUAUCACAAAGGCUCCUUGUGCGCGGUGUGUGAGUUUUGCGAGCACUGUGACCAUUGUGACAAAUGUCCAUGUGAGGAGGCAGAUAAGUCUAAGCACUGUGCACACUGCAAGAUGUGCAGUUUCUGCCAUGUGUGCCCUGUUUGUGAAACAGUUUGCAAACCUGGAGGAUUUAUUGAUGAAGUGUCUGGAUCUAUAUAUAAGACUGUAGCGGAUGUCUUCGAUAAUGAUGACGACAACUGAGCCCAAGCGCAAGAUGCUGUUAUGUGGCCAAAAGAGUAUUAUUCUCCAUCACCUUCAGUUUCCUUCGAUAUGCUCAGUAAUAAGGCAACAGGCAACUAUAAUCAUUGGCGGAGGAAGGACGUAGUGAGUGGGGGUGAUAUCAUACCAUGGAAAUUUGGUAUAUCUACCCACUUUUAUACCAACCUACCCAUGUUGUACCAAUUUUUAACUAACCAUAUAGUGGAAUAAGCAAUCAUAGUUUGAGUAACUGAAAAAAACCUAAAAAAAAAAAAAAAACCACACCGUUGAUUGCAUAAGUCAGAGAUAGGCAACUUUUUUCACAGCGGGGGCCACAAAAUUGUGACUGUAUCUGGUCCAAGGGUCACAUUAUCAAAAUGAUCAAAUCAGCAUUUAGAAUAAUGACCAAUCAGGCAUCAACACAGGAAAAAAUAAAGGGUUUGAAACUGUUAAUAAUAACUUUUUU